GUGAACGCUGGCGGUAGGCCUAACACAUGCAAGUCGAACGGCAGCACAGGAGAGCUUGCUCUCCGGGUGGCGAGUGGCGGACGGGUGAGGAAUACAUCGGAAUCUACUUUUUCGUGGGGGAUAACGUAGGGAAACUUACGCUAAUACCGCAUACGACCUACGGGUGAAAGCAGGGGACCUUCGGGCCUUGCGCGGAUGAAUGAGCCGAUGUCGGAUUAGCUAGUUGGCGGGGUAAAGGCCCACCAAGGCGACGAUCCGUAGCUGGUCUGAGGGGAUGAUCAGCCACACUGGAACUGAGACACGGUCCAGACUCCUACGGGAGGCAGCAGUGGGGAAUAUUGGACAAUGGGCGCAAGCCUGAUCCAGCCAUACCGCGUGGGUGAAGAAGGCCUUCGGGUUGUAAAGCCCUUUUGUUGGGAAAGAAAAGCAGCAGGUUAAUACCCCGCUGUUCUGACGGUACCCAAAGAAUAAGCACCGGCUAACUUCGUGCCAGCAGCCGCCGUAAGAC
rnacentral:rRNA from 1 species